rfam:Picea glauca, whole genome shotgun sequence.
AUGUACAUGCCUACAACAUAGUGUUAAUGCACUAGAUCCCAUUAGAACUCCACAGUUAAGCAUGCUCAGGCUAGAGUAGUAUUGGAAUGGGUGACUGCCCAGGAAGUCCUAGUGUUUUACAUU